UCGAUCCAUAAUUCGCUCACAUUCCUAAUACAAGAAAAUCAAAACACAUCACAAGCUUCGAUAACUCCUACAUAUACUCCCCCUUCAACCCUCUUUCAUCUUCCUCCAAACAUUCCGGCGUCCCACAGUCAAAGAAGAUCGGAAAGAAUUCUGUCUUUCGGUAAAUGGGUGGUGGAGAGUUGAUUCAGAGACGACCGCAAUCGAAAUAUUUUGGUAGUUGCGUGCCGAUGACAACAUCUCCGUCCUGUUUUCCGGUUAAACACGAAGAUUACUACACUCGGAUUCAUCGUGCUCCGGGACGUAAUAACAGUCAUGAUGUUGUGAACAGAAUUAAAAGAAGAUGGAGAAAUUUAUUAAGAAGAUUAGUGUGCCAGAGAAAGAUUAUGAGUAUCUGUGGAGCACCUAUGAGUAGUAGUUCUAAUAGUAAUAAACGAUUAACAUUUCAUUACGAUGCUGUUAGUUAUGCUCAGAAUUUCGAUGAAGGAUGUCAUCACCAAGAAGAUCAUCAACGUCACAAGAUUAUUCCGUCGAACAAGAAAAACAACUCCGGCUACAAUAAUAACUUCAUCAGAGAUUUCAAAAGCAUUGGUUCUACAGCUUCUUGUUCCCGUUAAGGAUAUAAUUGUAUGGUAAGAUUUUACAUUUAGAGAUCAACUGGUCGCGACUGGAUAGAUUUCCAUGUACAUGUCAAGGAGUAAAUAAUUUGACGCGGCGGAGACACCUAAGUGAUCGAAAUGGUGCGUGUCGCGCAGCUGAGCAACUCAAGUGCUCGGUUCUCAGAUUCUUGGAAGAGAAUGAUAGUUGAAUGAGCCAACAAAUAGUUGGAACUUGUAGUAAUUGUAUAACUCAGUAGUGACAAUACUUUUGUGGGCUAUUCAUCCGUGGAACGGAAAUUGAUGAUAUUUGGCAGUAAAUUAGGUAUACUUCUUAACUUAUUUUCAGCUAGAUUUUGUGUCUUCAUCGAUUCCCAAUGUGAUGAUAUUAAGUCGGUACGAAAUCUGCAAUUUGUAAAAGAAGCUAGUUUCCCCUAAUGUCAGAUAGUAAAUGUGGCUGACCUUA